UUUUAAUAUUUAAUAGUUUCAUACGAUCCUAAUAUUUUUGCAGAAGAGUGAAUUCUGAGACUUAAAAUUCUUAUAUGUAUUCAAAUAUACCAUAGGUUAAACAUUUUUUACUUCUUUACUACAGCUCAAUUAUCGAUUAUAUUGUAAUAUUUUUGGAUUUUAUAGCUACAUUGAGUAAAUAGAAAUUAGACUAUUAAUCUGAGAAAUAAAAUAAUUACUUUAAGUUAUUAUAAAAAACUCACCACAGUGUUGACGCGACAUAGUUAGAACAAUUAUAGAUAAUAUUUGUCAUUAAAACCCUUAUCAUAAAAAGGUUUCGAUGGAAAACUGUAGAUAAUGUUUCAUUUUUAAAAGGAAUUGUUGAAUUUUUCCAACAUCAGCAUCAACUCAUAUUUUCUUAAUUAUACCUCGAUUACAUAAUUAAUGAUUUGAAUGAAAUUACAGAAAAUGACUGAAAUAUAGAUACUUAUAUCCUAUCAAUAAAAAAGGCGACCCAGCAAUCACCGAUAAUUAUAGUGGAAAAAGGUUGUUUAUUACCAUUUACAGGAUAUUUUUCACUGGUAUUGAAAAGUCAACCACCGACCACAUAUUUACAAUUCGAUUAGUUCCAGAAAAAUUCAUGAGUAUGCCAAAGAUAUAGUAUAUAUAAUAUAAAUAUAAUAUCACCUAUACAUGAUAUUUAUUGACUAUAAACAGGCAUAUAAUAUUAUUAAUAGGAGUAAUCGACUUGUAAGACUUAUUUGAAACUAUAAUUUGAAAUCUUUUUGUGUGGAACAUACAGAAAUGGGAGAAACAUCAGGACAGUUUGAUAUCAAGAAUGAACUAAGUCAAGCUUAGAUAUUUAGUCUUGAAAAUAACGAAAAGGAAAUACAAAAUUAUAAAAAUAAGAACGUGACACAAUACACUGUUAUCUCAAGAUUAUAAUAUUGUUAAUCUUGGAGAAUUUAAAGCUGAUUUAAUAACACUUACUCUUAAACUAUUUAAAAGAAGUAAAAUUUGGACUUUAAAAUCAAUUUUAAUAAAACAAAAUACAUGAUUAUGACGAGAAAACUGACAACUGUGUAAAACCCAUAGUAGGGACGAUACUUAUUUGAACAAGUUAAAGAUUUUAGUUAUCUGGAAGAUAAUAUAAACCAAAGAAAUAAUAAAUAGUAAAAUAAAACUGAGACUAUUCUCGACAAAUAGAGGAUAUCAUGUGAUGAGAAAUUAGCUGGCAUCUAGACAACUAUCAAAGGACACAAUAACAAUGCUGUACAUUGCUUAUCUACAUUACAUUGUUAUGUAUGUAUAUAAAACCUGGCUAACAACAAAAAUGUUAUUAUUUGAGAGGGAAAUACUCUAAUAGAUAUGUGGACCUACAAUAAUUUCUGAUACAGGACACUAUAAAAGAGAGAAAAAUGAAGAUAUCGAAAAUAUAUACAUAAUUGUUUGAAAGCAAAAAUACUGGAUUGGGUAGUCAUGUAUGGAGGACAAAUAAAAUGUUGAUAUAUACAAAUAGUGCUAAUUAACAAACGAGCGAAAAAAAACACGUGAUAGAUCUCAACGACGUUGGCUUGACAGAGUGAACAAAGAUUUGGAAAGUCUAGGAACAGAGAGAAGACGUGAAAGAUAAGAACAUUGGGGAGAAGUGAUGGAAGCGAUAAAAAACCUAUAGGCUUAUAAGCCACUAAAUAUAUAAAUUUGCCUAAACAUUAUGCUUAUUCGGUUAACUUUAAUAUUUUUAAACAAUAUAUAGUAUUCAGUAAGUAAGAAAACGAA